rnacentral:lncRNA from 1 species
AUGGCUAAACACCCACCUGUUGUUGUGCUAAAUGCGUUUGUGCUAAAUGUGGGACUCAUAGUAACUGUAGUGUAUCCAUCAAACACUGAAUCUAUAUUGCACUUUAGGGACCCGUGUGAAUGUACAUGCACAGAUGUAGUUGAAGUUCUGUUUGGAUUAUUGGAUUUCAUGCCGCACGUCACAGCACAAGAUGCAGAUGAAUCCUUACUGUCAUAUACUGUAACUACACACAAAUUGAUAGUGACUAGCUUAAUACUGUGUCCGACACAGUUACUCAUCCAGCAGGUGUAUUUCCCAGCAUCUUCUCUUCUGACAUUUCCAAUAUAUAUAGACUUGUUGAAAGUCAAAUUCUCUGUUGUUGCUCUUAGUUCUGAUUUCCCGAGAGCAGUCGUUGCUUCAAAACUCCAUUUUAUUCUAUCAAGUUCACUUGAACAUGUGUGCUGAAAACUGCUGCCGGCAACAGUGUAAACUGUCUUAUUGACUUCUUUCCACGUCUCUGAAAAAAGAGAGGUAAAGGAUUGUGAAGAUAAUCUUUGGGAAAUUUAAAAAUCACAUAAUCACAGGUAGAUUCUGCCUUAGCAGAAAAAAAUAUGACAGCAGGACAAACCUUUCUUCACUAUGAUGUCAGUGGACUUCUGGCAUGUUUCUUGGCAAGUUUCACACCAGUACACACCUUCAUCAUCCUCAGUAAAAGAACUGAUGACCAAGGAACGAUUGGAUCCAAUUCUCAAUUUGGGAUUGGACAUUUGAUGAUAUUGCACUCCAUUCUUAUCUUGGAAGAACAACUGAACCUGCUUACUACUUUGGUUCUUCUUGUAAAGCCAUUUGAAAGAGUGUAAAUGAUGGCUGCAAUCCUGAUACGGUAUCACAGCUCGACAUCCCAGCGAAAAAUUAAGUUGUGCUGCGACUGGCAAAAUAUCACAUUGCUGAUUUAUAUUAACAGUCACUUGAAAAAAAAAAUAUAAAACUUUCAAAAGUCAGCUCAUGAAUUGUAUUUUAAAUACAUUGUAUUUAAUUAAGAAAUUUGAAUAAUGAAUUUGGUUAAGUAAUGAUUUGAUUAGCUACUCACUGUUUCCUGAGAAAGUAGAGAAGUUCCAAACAAGUAAAAAAGUGAAAAUGAAGCCUUUCUGUUUCAUAUUGGAGAAAUUCCUGUCCCCGCAGAAAUAAAACCCAACAUGAAGCAUCCUGGCUGUACCAUUACUGCUCAUAAAAAACACAGAUCACAAACUCAUCCUCUCAGCAAAAGGUUUUAGAUUGAGCUUAACAGCUUAAAUGAGCCUGAGACAUCGGAAGUGGUCCAACAGUCAGUACAGAGGAAAUUUAGCAAGGUUGUCACCCACACUGUUUUUCUGAUGUGGUCUGGCAUAUGAUUUACUUCUUACAUUUAGUAUGGGUGUUAAGACACAAAAUGUGCAUAGCAAACUAGUUUCUUUUUUAUUAUAUAGAUGCCAAAUAUGUGCUCACAUUUUAUGCUGAGAUAAUGUUUGUGGGGGUUGAACCAAAACUGUGAUUGAGCUGUUUGUAAAGUUUAUCGUACAGUUAAACUCACUGGAGUUUGGACUUCAUGUGCAAACAAAGCACUUGUAACCAACCUAUUGACUGCCAAGGGCAACAACUGACACAAUUACACUUUUAUUAAUGAGAUUAAAUUCUAAUGAAUAUCAUACGCUCCAAAAGUGCUGGUCUGAGUACUUUAAAGUUUCUUAAUUUGUCAUAGAGCACCAUACAGCAUGACAGUCAGGGUUGGGCAAUGAAGUAUUAUAUGUACUAUAUUCAGUUUAAAAAAAAAACAUGAAUAUAAUCUGCACAGAUUGUAUUUAACGAUAUAAAGUCAGAGGCGUUGUCAAGGAUUUCCUUGCUUGUUGGGUUUUUAAAUCACAAAGUCAAUUAAACAGACUUUGUUCAUAAUUCUUAAAAUAAACUCAAAGUAUUUAGUAACUAUACGAAGAAACAAGUGUUUGACAGGCAAACAGAAUAGCCAAAAGGAAAACCUAUAUUUUUGCGUGUGAUGUUCACUUUACAUGAGCACAAAUUCUUUCGGUUAACAAACAAAGUCAUUUUUGAUAGAAUUUAUAAAUGUUUUUCUUAACAACACAUUUCUUCAUAAUCUACUUUUUAAUUUCAUACUCUAAAUUUCCCAUAUUAGCAUCUUCAUCAUCCCAGUUUUCAUUUACUGCCGUAACGAUGUUGCUGUUGACGUUGCUGCGCUCAAAACGCCGACAUUUCCGUCAGGACAUCAAGUCAUCGUUUUAUUGAGUGUCAGAUUCCCCGCCUACCGGAGACACCACUGAAAACCUCGCUUUACCUCCGGCACUUAGAAAGGUGAGCUCAGAUCACCUUUUGUGCUGUGUUGAGGAGGUUUUCCUGCAGGGGGAGGCGG